rnacentral:rRNA from 1 species
AACAUGGCUCUUUGAGAUUUAUAUAUAAAGAGUCUGGCCUGCCCAGUGAUGUAUUUUUAACGGCCGCGGUACUCUGACCGUGCGAAGGUAGCAUAAUCAUUUGCCCUAUAAUUGAGGGCUAGUAUGAAUGGUUUGACAUGAGCAUAACUGUCUCCUUAAAAUUUUAUAAAAUUUGGUUUUUAGGUGAAGAAACCUAAAUUAAAUUGAAAGACAAGAAGACCCUAUCGAGCUUUAGAAUAAUUAGUUAAAAAAUAUAAAUAAAACAAUUAAUUUUAAUUAAAAACUUUGGUUGGGGCGACUGAGGAACAUAUAAAGCUUCCUUAAUUAAACAAUGCUGAUAAGCAAUGAUCCAGGAAAUCUGAUUAAAAAAAUUAGUUACCGUAGGGAUAACAGCAUAAUCUUUUUUGAGAGCUCUUAUCGAAAAAAAGGUUUGUGACCUCGAUGUUGGACUAGGAUAUCCUAAAGAUGUAGAAGUCUUUAAUGGUUGCUCUGUUCGAGCAUAAAAAUCCUACGUGAUCU